CGAGGUUCAUGGAAAUUUCUGAGA
rnacentral:miRNA from 1 species